AGCAUAUCAAUAAGCGGAGGAAAAGAAACCAACAGGGAUUGCCUUAGUAACUGCGAGUGAAGCGGCAAAAGCUCAAAUUUGAAAUCUGGCGUCUUCGGCGUCCGAGUUGUAAUUUGGAGGGAUAACUUCGGGGUUGGCGCCGUCCUAAGUUCCUUGGAACAGGACGUCACAGAGGGUGAGAAUCCCGUGCCUGGAUGGCUGUCCAACUCCAUGUGAAGUGUCUCCGACGAGUCGAGUUGUUUGGGAAUGCAGCUCAAAAUGGGUGGUAAAUUUCAUCUAAAGCUAAAUAUUGGCGAGAGACCGAUAGCGCACAAGUAGAGUGAUCGAAAGAUGAAAAGCACUUUGAAAAGAGAGUUAAAAAGUACGUGAAAUUGUUGAAAGGGAAGCGCUUGCGACCAGACUCGAUCUUUGGUGAUCAGCCGGGCUUCUGUCCGGUGCCCUCGCCAUUGAUUGGGCCAGCAUCGGUUCUGACGGCGGGAUAAAAGGAGGAGGAAUGUGGCUCCCUUCGGGGAGUGUUAUAGCCUCCUUCACAAUGCCGCCAGUUGGGACCGAGGACCGC
rnacentral:rRNA from 1 species